rnacentral:lncRNA from 1 species
UUCUGUGUGGAAACUGUGGUGUCAGCAGCAGCCAGAGCACAUGCUCCUGGCCCAGGGCUUCUCAGGCUCACUCUCACCUCAUGUAUUUUGUCUCUGCUCGUAGGAGAGUCAUCGUCAUUAAACCCGAGCUCUGCAUGGAGGACUGGAGCAGAGGUGGCGCUCAGUGCCAUGGCUGUGGCUCCAUGAUGAAUUGUUGGGGUUAGCUUUGAAAUGACGUGCUGUUAAGAUAGCCAUUCUCCAAACUAUUUCUGUUCAGUUUUGAUAGAAUUAAGCAGCUAGUGAAAGCUUCCAUUUUACUGUUUAGCUUUGAACAUUUUCUGCUUAAUUCUGAAUAUGACUUUAAGCCCUUCCAGAAUGUCCUUGUGCUGUUUUUACUGAAUUAAUUGCCAAAAGAUCGGGUGCCCUAGUUAACACAUUGUGUGUUUCACCGCUGUAAGCGGUUC